rnacentral:tRNA from 1 species
AAGGCCUUAGUUUAGUUAAAAUGUCUUUGUUGCGGAUAGAAGAUGUAGAGUUAAGAUCUUCAGGUCUUA